rnacentral:misc_RNA from 1 species
CGAACUGCGAUAAGUAAUGUGAAUUGCAGAAUUCAGUGAAUCAUCGAAUCUUUGAACACACCUUGCGCUCCUUGGUAUUCCUUGGAGCAUGCCUGUUUGAGUAUCAUGAAAUCUUCAAAGUAAAUCUUUUGUUAACUCAAUUGGUUUCUACUUUGGUAUUGGAGGUCUUUGCAGCUUCACACCUGCUCCUCUUUGUUCAUUAGCUGGAUCUCAGUGUUAUGCUUGGUUCCACUCGGCGUGAUAAGUUAUCUAUCGCUGAGGACACUGUAAAAGGUGGCCAAGGUAAAUGCAGAUGAACCGCUUCUAAUAGUCCAUUGACUUGGACAAUACUUUUAUGAUCUGAUCUCAAAUCAGGUAGGACUACCCGCUGAACUUAAGC